CGGCACAUACAACUUGGAAGAGAAGGAUCUGGAUCCAAAGGGUCAAAUUUGGUAAGACCAUCAGAUUGGUAUAAUUAAAACUGUUCAUCAAUAGCAGUGUGAUUGUACUUAUUUAGGCGCUUAUUUUGGUGUACUUCUUCCCAAACACAGUGCCAGGUAUAAUGAUUUGAGAAGGCAUACUCAAAGCCAGUUUGCCAAACAAAAUGAUCAAUUAUCAACAUUGGAUCGGUUGAGAGCCUCACUUUGCUAUCUAGCCAAAUAGAGUACCUAAAAAUUGCCGCAAGAGGAGGACAAAUUAAUCCUCAGUUGGAGCCAGAUAGACUAAGAAUAAAAGUCCAGCUAGGGAUAUGAAAAAUCACCUAGAAGAAGGAAAGAGGCAACGUGUCAAAAUCUUUGGUACUUUCCCCUUUCUACUCAUAUCUAUGUAUGGUAAGUUCUUGAUGACAACUAAUUUCUACAAUCCAACAAAUCCACCAUCAUCAGGUGUGUUUCUUUCUUUUGAGAGUGUCGAAAGAGUUCCCUCAUCAACAAACAUAACAAAACACACGUUUUUCUUUGAAUACUCACUGAUCUGAAAAGGUAAUGAUUAAUCAAACGUAAGCACAUGUUGCUAUAUCCUUACAUACUCUUCUGCUUUCCAAAGAUACCAUCUGACAAAUCAGUAGAAUUUUAUUAGAGAAAACUGAUGUAUCCAGGAUACAUGUUUUAAAAAGUCUUUGAUCUUCACGGAGUUAUUCAACAUUUCUGAUAUAAGUUUUUUAUGCAACUGCCAUUUCAGAGAACAGAGAACAACAAAUGGGGUUGAAACAGCAAGGUCGUUAGAAUGGGAAUGAGGAGAAAAGGAAUCUAUCGUCCUUCCAGGUGGUUUAAUAACUUUGAAAGGAAUCUAUUUUGCUACAAUGUCGUUAUUAGUAAUUAUCUAUGAUCGAGGCUGCACUAAUUCUUGUUACAAUGUCGUAAAUUAUCCAUUUUGACCACACAAGUAUAACUUAUCUUCCCAAUAUCUACUUACUGGAAACUCUCUUAUUAAUAAGCUCAAACAAA
rnacentral:lncRNA from 1 species